CUUGAACGUGUAGCUUCUGAGAUAUUUCUGUCUGUUGGAUCUGUAGACGUCAGGGCUUAUGAAUCUAACGUAAUCUCCUGGUGAUUGAAAAGGUACGUCAUUUGCACUCAUCUCCACUCUGUUUGUGUUUUGAACAUCUUUGAUCAUCAUUUUUGUGAUGUGUACUAUUUUUUUUGUUUUGUCGACGAUCCUCUAUUAAUUCUC